GGCUGGUCCGAUAGCAGUGGGUUAUCAGAACGUAUUAACAUUAGUGUCACUAAAGUUGGUAUACCACCCCCCCCCCACUGCUAAAUUUGACUGGUUUAAA
ensembl:misc_RNA Y_RNA Y RNA